UGAGUGUCUAUUGGUUUCUUGGUGCUCACA
rnacentral:piRNA from 1 species